rnacentral:rRNA from 1 species
GACGAACGCUGGCGGCGUGCCUAAUACAUGCAAGUAGAACGCUGAAGGAGGAGCUUGCUUCUCUGGAUGAGUUGCGAACGGGUGAGUAACGCGUAGGUAACCUGCCUGGUAGCGGGGGAUAACUAUUGGAAACGAUAGCUAAUACCGCAUAACAGUAGAUAUCGCAUGAUAUCUACUUGAAAGGUGCAAUUGCAUCACUACCAGAUGGACCUGCGUUGUAUUAGCUAGUUGGUGAGGUAACGGCUCACCAAGGCGACGAUACAUAGCCGACCUGAGAGGGUGAUCGGCCACACUGGGACUGAGACACGGCCCAGACUCCUACGGGAGGCAGCAGUAGGGAAUCUUCGGCAAUAGACGGAAGUCUGACCGAGCAACGCCGCGUGAGUGAAGAAGGUUUUCGGAUCGUAAAGCCCUGUUGUAAGAGAAGAACGAGUGUGAGAGUGGAAAGUUCACUCUGUGACGGUAGCUUACCAGAAAGGGACGGCUAACUACGUG